rnacentral:rRNA from 1 species
UACGGGGGGAGCAAGCGUUGUUCGGAUUUACUGGGCGUAAAGGGCGCGUAGGCGGUCGUGACAAGUCACUUGUGAAAUCUCCGGGCUUAACUCGGAACGGUCAGGUGAUACUGUCGGACUAGAGUACAGAAGGGGCAACUGGAAUUCUCGGUGUAGCGGUGAAAUGCGUAGAUAUCGAGAGGAACACCUGCGGCGAAGGCGGGUUGCUGGGCUGAUACUGACGUGAGGCGCGAAAGCCAGGGGAGCGAACGGGG